rnacentral:lncRNA from 1 species
AAACAUUAACUUUGCCGAUUUUUUUAACCAAAAUGUUUUCCAAACGAUCUCAAUAUUUAUGUUCAUCUUUAUUAUUCAUGACAACGAUGUUGAUUUUGUUCAACCGCUAUCUUUAUACCGAAAAUCGUAAGCAUGUUAUGUGUAAAUCCGAGUAAAAUCGUAUCUGACUGACAAAAACAACAUUGAAAACAAUGGAUGCCAUAAACUGGAAAACACCGGAUCAGAUUCCAGAGGCGGAUAAGGGUAAUUCCGGGUUUGCCGAUCAAAUUCAAUAAAAAAAAAAAAUAAUUCCAGGCAGGUGACAAAAUACAUUGCUCAGCUGAUGAUAAAAUAAUUUAACAAUAGAAUUGAAAACCCAAAAGAUAUAUGGAAAAGAAAGAAAAAGCAGGAAAUAUUUUAUACAGAAACUCAAAAUUACUUUUAGUUCACAAAUUGUCAUGUCAAAAUUCAACAUGUUCAAUAAAAUGUGACAGUAAUUUUCUUUAUUAUUAAUAAAUGUUGAUAUUUCAUAUAGAUAUUUUUAUAGUGUAAACAUAUUACUACAAUUCCAAGAGAUAAUUUCUUCUAAAUUUUGAAUGACCGCCCAGUAAAAUCUUGAAGUUUCUUAAUUUAUUUUCACAGAGGAACCAAAUAAAUAGCUUUGAAUUUGUACUACUACUUAAAUUGUAUACUCCGAAAUGAACAAUAUAAAAAAGAGAUACAUAUAGCCCUUUAUAUCAUAGUGAAAACUACAAGACAACACCCACCCACCAACAGUGACACCAUCCCCAUAUAAAAACAAGAUAAUGUGAUUUUAUUAUAAAUUGUAGACAAUUACAUGUAUAAUUAAACAUGUUUUACAACAGUUACUGACAAUGAAACAAGUUAACCUAACACCAAAAGCACAUAAAUUUUGUAUCUUACUGAGUUAUGAAAUAUUUCAAGUAAAAGUAGGACCUGGAAUUUAGGCUGUGGACCUUUCAGUUUGGAGUGUCAAAGGUCCUGGACCUUCCAGUACCAAAUGUUAAUUUGAACCCCUG